rnacentral:rRNA from 1 species
UCUUUAAUUAAGAGCUAGAAUGAAUGAGCUGAUGACACUUGAGCUUUUUAGCUAGAGCAGUGGAAUUUGAUAUUUACUUCAAAAAGAGUAGAUAAACUAGGGGGACGAUAAGACCCUAUAAAACUUUAAUUUAUACAUAUUUCUAUAGUACUUAGAAUAGAAUAAUAUAUUAAAAAUUAGGCUGGGGCGGCAAUUAGAAUACACUAGUAAAAUUAACACAAUAGGUGGGGUUAAAGAUCUUAUAAAAAGAUAGAAUAAGUUACUUUAGGGAUAACAGCACAAUUUUUUCAAAUAGUUCACAUAAAAGGAAAAGACUUGUGACCUCGAUGUUGAAUUGAGGUAUCUUAUUUAAGCAAAAAUAAAUAGAGAGG